rnacentral:tRNA from 1 species
GGGGCUGUAGCUCAGCUGGGAGAGCACCUGCUUUGCAAGCAGGGGGUCAGCGGUUCGAUCCCGCUCAGCUCCCCCA